UUUUAAAUUGAGAGUUUGAUCCUGGCUCAGGACGAACGCUGGCGGCGUGCCUAACACAUGCAAGUCGAGCGAUGAAGCUUCCUUCGGGAAGUGGAUUAGCGGCGGACGGGUGAGUAACACGUGGGUAACCUGCCUCAAAGAGUGGGAUAGCCUCCC
rnacentral:rRNA from 1 species